rnacentral:rRNA from 1 species
UACGGGGGGAGCAAGCGUUACUCGGAAUUACUGGGCGUAAAGGGCGCGUAGGCGAUUUUGUAAGUCUUGUGUGAAAGCCCAAAGCCUAACUUUGGAAGUGCACAAGAUACUGCGAGAAUUGAGUUCCGGAGAGGAAGAUGGAAUUCCCGGUGUAGCGGUGAAAUGCGUAGAGAUCGGGAAGAACAUCGGUGGCGAAAGCGCUCUACUGGACCGCAACUGACACUCAGGGACGAAAGCUAGGGGAGCGAAUGGG